rfam:Aspergillus lentulus DNA, contig: Alt16, strain: IFM 54703.
CUUCGUCCACCUGCUGAGGGCAGAUAAAGUGAAUAUGAGUAUCGAACCCGCCGGCCGUCACGAUCUUAUUCUCUCCCGCAAUGACAUCGGUGGAUGAGCCCACAAUCAUGUCCGGAUGCACGCCGUCCAUCAUAUCCGGGUUGCCAGCCUUGCCGAUAGCAGAGAUCAGCCCAUUCUUGAUACCAAUGUCAGCCUUGUAGAUUCCGCUCCAGUCAAUGAUCAGCGCAUUCGUAAUGACGGUGUCCAGACACUCGGCUUCAGACCUCUCCGAGGACUGGCCCAUACCCUCGCGAAG